rnacentral:rRNA from 1 species
UACGAGGGGGGCGAGCGUUGUUCGGAAUUAUUGGGCGUAAAGGGUGCGUAGGCGGCCUGACAAGUCUGAUGUGAAAUCCCUGGGCUCAACCCAGGGCCUGCAUCGGAAACUGUCGGGCUUGAGUAUGGGAGAGGUGAGUGGAAUUUCCGGUGUAGCGGUGAAAUGCGUAGAUAUCGGAAGGAACACCUGUGGCGAAAGCGGCUCACUGGACCAUUACUGACGCUGAGGCACGAAAGCUAGGGGAGCAAACAGGG